AACUGACCACUUAGAAGAAGUAGGUGUGCUAUAUAGGUAAAUGAAAAUUAAAAAAUCCAAAAUGAUCACUUGGGGGAAAAAAAGGCAGUAGGAAUUUGGCCAAGUUUUUGAUUAACAGUAAACUUGACAUUAUCGGUAUAAAAACUCAAGCCCGCCAAUGUACUAUAUAUUUUCGAGAAUAAAAAGGUAUAAGACACAGAAUGAUGUCAAGAUAGUAAGGGCGUAUAAACAGUCUCUGAAAGGGGAAGGGAAAAAGAAGAUAUCUAAAAUUGCUCAUAAUAACAGAAAAAUGCAGAGUAUGUGCAGGGCAUGGUAUUCUUACCAUAAAGUGCUGACAUUGUUAGGUGGUUCAGCCAAAUAAAGCAGUAUUUACAUACUCAUCACUAAAAGAUCAUGAAUCUUAAUGUAUUUUUGAAUAUUGUCUAUAAACAGUUGUAUAUAUUUCAUUAUGCAAGGAAAAAGACUUUUUUCCUUUAAACUUUAAUCAUAGUGUGGGGAUUACUCAGUUUGAUUUUUAAAUUACUGUGAAAUUUAGCUCUUUGGUUUUUGGGGUUUUUUUUAGCCCUUUGGUUUUUUAAUUGGUUUGGUUUGGGUUUUUGUUUUUGAGCCCUUUGUUCUUAAGUCACUAUAUUUAAUUGUAAGUCUCAUUUUACUAGUCAGGCACACACUUGAUUAUAACAAAUAAAUAGAACAUAUGCACAGCCC
rnacentral:lncRNA from 1 species